CCUGGCUCAGGAUGAACGCUAGCGACAGGCCUAACACAUGCAAGUCAGGGGCAGCACAAGGAGCAAUCUGAGGUGGCGACCGGCGCACGGGUGAGUAACACGUAUGCAACCUGCCUGUAAGCGGGGAAUAACCCGUUGAAAGACGGACUAAUACCGCAUAAUACUAAAUUACUGCAUGGUAAUUUAUUUAAACAUUUAUGGCUUACAGAUGGGCAUGCGCAUGAUUAGCUAGUUGGAGAGGUAACGGCUCCCCAAGGCAACGAUCAUUAGGGGUUCUGAGAGGAAGGUCCCCCACACUGGUACUGAGACACGGACCAGACUCCUACGGGAGGCAGCAGUGAGGAAUAUUGGUCAAUGGACGAGAGUCUGAACCAGCCAAGUCGCGUGCAGGAAGAAUUGUCCUAUGGAUUGUAAACUGCUUUUGCAGGGGAAUAAAGUGCAUCACGUGUGAUGUUUUGUAUGUACUCUGCGAAUAAGGAUCGGCUAACUCCGUGCCAGCCGCCGC
rnacentral:rRNA from 1 species